rnacentral:misc_RNA from 1 species
UCCGGCUUGCCGCCGGCGGUCCCUCUAGAGUGCCCAACUGAAUGAUGGCAACUAAAGGCGAGGGUUGCGCUCGUUGCGGGACUUAACCCAACAUCUCACGACACGAGCUGACGACAGCCAUGCAGCACCUGUGCAAGCUGGUAUUGCUACCUCGUCAGACUUUCAUCCUUCUACUACUUGCAUGUCAAGGCCAGGUAAGGUUCUUCGCGUUGCAUCGAAUUAAGCCACAUACUCCACCGCUUGUGCAGGCCCCCGUCAAUUUCUUUGAGUUUUAACCUUGCGGCCGUACUCCCCAGGCGGGGUGCUUAACGCGUUAGCUACGCCACACCAUUGGGUCAACACCUGAUAUGGCUAGCACCCAUCGUUUACGGCGUGGACUAC